rnacentral:lncRNA from 1 species
AAAUGAGACCACUGACAACAAGGAAAGGAAGUGGGACUUUGGUGACUACAUAGGAGCACAUCAUGCUUGGCACCUUAGGAUGUGAUGAGGAGUGCAUAAUUCAAAACAAAACCUCUUAAUGAGGAGAAUGGUGCCACCACCCAUUUCCCAUUUUCUGCAGUAAAGGGUAAUCAGUAUAGACACUUCAAAAAUAAAAAAAAAAAAACACAGUGCAGUCAGGCUGCUGCAAGAUCUUUGUAUUGCAAUUUGGACACUUACCUAAAUCCUCUAUCAGUUAUAAACAAGAAUAUUUGUAACUAUCCUGAAGACAUUUCAGUAUUAUUAAACCGUAUUUGUUUUACAUUUUCAUUAUCUUGUUGAGAAAUUUGGAAUCAAAUUUGCAAUGUAGGACAUUUGACUGAAAUUUUACUGGUUAUUGGCAUUGCAAAAUGUCAUUCAUAUUUAUCUGUUAAUAUCUUUAACACUCACAAUCAAUGGAUUACUGUAACCUGUGAGAUGUAACCAACAUCAGGAAGCCUAUGAAGAGAAAAGAAGGAGAAGCCAAAUAGCUAUACUGUAAUUUGUAUAUCAGAGUUCUGUUUAUAUUGGGUUUCAAAGAACAGUAUUUCUCAGAUAGAAUUCAGACAAUGUAUCUGGAAUCUUAAAAGAGCACUGCAUUUUGGUUGCUAUCAUUAAUAGUAUGAGUUAGAAAAAACAUUUCCCUUUAAUGUUUUACAGCAUGAUUAGACUUAGGAAGACCAGCUGUGAAAUUUGAAAACAUAAAAUUUGAUUUUAGAGAUUUAAGCUCAAAGAUGUGUAUCAGUGUUUAUAAAAAUGAGUUAAAAUUCUAUGAUGAUUAAAAAAAAUUCCAGACAUCUGUCCCAACUUUUCCUCCUGUGGGCAUCCAGUCUCUGAUCUCAAGUCUCCAGUCUUUUUGUUUUUAUGUCACCACACACAAACUGGUGGUUGAAAUGCCAAUAAUGUUACUUGGAGAUGGUUCAGUGACUAAAAGCUGUGUAGUUACCAUGCAAAUUGAAUCUGCAAAAUGAACCUGAACUUUUCCAAAUACAACUCUGUUAAGACUGGUCUGUAAAUUAGUAGCUGCGUCAACCACCCACAUC